GACGAACCGUCCAAACGUUAUUCGGAAUCACUGGGCUUAAAGGGUGCGUAGGCGGUCCGGAAAGUUGGGUGUGAAAGCCCUCGGCUCAACCGAGGAAUUGCGCUCAGAACUGCCGGACUCGAGGGAGACAGAGGUGAGCGGAACUUGCGGUGGAGCGGUGAAAUGCGUUGAUAUCGCAAGGAACACCAGUAGCGAAGGCGGCUCACUGGGUCUCUUCUGACGCUCAGGCACGAAAGCUAGGGGAGCGAACGGGAUUAGAUACCCCCGUA
rnacentral:rRNA from 1 species